rnacentral:lncRNA from 1 species
CAUAGACAUUUUAUUUUUCUCCAUCAUCCACACUGUUCAAAGUCAUUUAGAUGAUAAUUAUGUACCCACCAGAAACUAUUGACAACAGUUCGAAUGAAUAUGGCUCCAAAUUGAGUCUUGAAGAAAUUAUCCAGCUGAAAAAAAUGGACACCGAAUAAUACGUUUUAUUAUAUUAACAAUUAAACAAUGUAAGGAUGGUAUCAAGAUGGCAUAUGAUGAAUUAAAAUGAAGAUGAUCAUGAAGAAGAUGAUCAUGAUUAUGAUCUUGUGAAGCUCCUUUCAGAACAACUAACGACACUAUCAAUGGUAAAAUUAAAUCAAAUUAGUUACCUGGGUAGCCACUUGAUUUGCCAAUUUCAGGAACUCUGGUGAACUGCUGUUGAUCAGAGAGCUAUUGAAGGUCAAUGUUAGGCUGAACUGCAGUGACAAUUGAAGUGUGGUCGGUGGAGCAUCUGUUGCUGAGGUUAACUUUGUAGCUGUUGUGUUGACUACUGUGGUACUUACGCACAUGCAUUUACACACAAACUGUUGGUGAACUGCAUCCCCUUUUGACUUCCCACACUGUUUAUCACUAUCCAGCUGAGUCUGUUCCUUUCCCUCAAGGUUAGAAACCUCUGGCAGUUUUUACUCCUUUUACCAUCUGUCCUCUGUGACCAUGGGCACACUAAAUACUCACACACAUUUCUUUCCCUCUACAGCCUCUACUAGAUUUUCUGGGACUAAUCGGACUAAUCAAUCACUACAUUGAUCAUUACAUUGAUUAUUCAUUAACCAUGCUGUAUGACUAAUAAUUCAUCAUGGUUUAUUGAUUCAUUUAGCUUUAUUAGAUAAUUCUCUUAUCAAUUCCACCCUUAAAUGAUUAAAUAAUUCACCAUGAUGAUCAAACGCUAUAUGGGAACACUACUAAUCACAUGCUAUAUGUAACACAAUUAAUCACAUGCUAUAUGUAAGCACUAUUAAUCACAUGCUAUAUGUAAACACAAUUAAUCACACGCUAUAAGUAAACACAAUUGUGAUACAAGACUUUAACAAAACCAAGACAUGAAUAUUCCUCCUAUACUCAUCAAUGACUGUCCUAGGCCUAUUUCCAAUUAUGACACUUCGAUUCAGGAUUUUCAUCAUAAUUUUCAUUAAAGGAACAGUCAAUCUAAACGUUGAAAAUUGUUUCAUCAAACAUUGGCAUCUCAUGAUAAUAAAAAGAAACGGAGCCAUCUUCCUGGCCUGGAGGGCCGCAUUCGCCAUCCCACUGAUCGGUGCUCGGAAUCGGUCCAUAUCUCACCAACUGCUGCGUCAUCGAUCUCUCGAGAGUCCUGGUGAUUAAACCUCUAGCACGGGACGAUACAACAUCCACACAACACAAACACACUCAUACAGGUGAAAGCAGCCCAUAAUACAGUUCUUACCACACUUUUCCAUUUCCCAAACAUGGGCUGUGUUAUCAGGAAUGUACGUGCAGCAAUGAACCUAAUCAUUCUACCUACACCGCCCUCUUCUGCCAAUAACAUAUCGCGAGUCAGUCUAUUUUACCCGGCCAUGAGGGAGAUGGCGGAUAAUUGGUCAGAGAACCUCUUUACUGCAUCCCCGGUUUCAUUCAUGAAUCUCUGUUGAUUAUAAAAGGUGUCAUUAAUCCAAUCCACAUUUUUAUUUAUUGUCAACCACCAAAAUAAUGUAGUGUUAAAGCCUUCACAUAUUUGAUUCACAGCUUUGUAUUCAUCUGGAACUUCCCUGAAGAUGCCAAUAGCAUCCAUCUAGACAAAGCUACUCCCAUCCUGGUCAAAACUCCUCCUGUGCCUACUUUAGCCUCCUAUAACUGGCCUCUGAUGACUAACUCGAACUGGUUGGACCUAUAACCCCACCCUUUGUGGUAAUUUGUCGUAUGCUUCCUUUGCUGGUACUAGCCCACCCUACAUCAGUUAUAGGUGCUGGGUUAGCUGGAGGAGCUGUUGUGUUAACAAUAUUUGUCGUUGAAGCUGCUGUGGUCGUUGUGGGAGCAUCUGUGGGUGUUGUGGGGAUGGCUGUGGUUGUUGUGCGAGGAUCUGUGGUUUUUGUUGGAGCAGCUGUGGUAGUUGUUGGAGACGCUGUAGUUGAUUUGGGAGCAGUUGUUGUUGUUGUUGGAGUAUCUGUGGUUGUUUUAGCCCCAAUUGUAGUUGUCGUUGGAGCUUCUGGGGUUGUUGUGGAUGUAUCUGUGGUUGUUUUGGGAGAUUCUGUGGUUAUUGUGGGAGCAGCUGUGGUUGUUGUGCGAGCAGCUGUGGUUGUUAUGCGAGCAGCUGUGGUGGUUGUGGGAGCAUCUGUGGUUGUUGUGAGAGUUGAUGUGGUUGUUGUUGGAGUAUCUGUGGUUGUUGUCGCUCCAGUUGUAGUUGUCAUUGGAGCUACUGUGGUUGUGUUGGGAGCAGAUGUGGGUGUUCUGAGGAUAGAUGUGGUUGUUGUGGGUGCAUCUGUGGUUGUUGUGGGAGAUUCUAUGGUUAUUGUGGAAACAGCUGUGGUUGUUGUGGGAGCAGCUGUGCUUGUUGUGCGAGCAGCUGUGGUUGUUGUGGGAGAAGCUGUGGUUGAUGUGGGAGCAGCUGUGGUUGUUUUAGGAGUAUCUGUUGUUGUUGUAGCCCUAAAUGUAGUUGUCGUUGGAGCUGAUGUUGUUGCUGUGGGAGAAGCUGUGGUUGUUGUGGGGACGGCUGUGUUUGUUGUGGGUGCGUCUUUGGCUGUUGUUGGAGAAGCAGUGGUUGUUGUUGGAGAAGCUGUGGUUGUUGUGGUGCUAAGGAUGUUGUGGAUGUAUCUGUGGUUGUUGUGGGAGCAACUGUCAUUGUUGUUGAGGCAGUUGUGGUUGUUGUUGGAGUAUCUGUGGUUGUUGUAGCCCCAAAUGUAUUUGUCUUUUGAGCUGCUGAAGAUGUUGUGGGAGCAUCAGUGGUUGUUGUUGGAACAUCUGGGGUUGUUGUCGGAGCAGCUGUGGUUGUUGUGGGAGCAGCUGUGGUUGUUGUGGGAGCAGCUGUGGUUGUUGUGGGAGAAGCUGUGGUUGAUGUGGGAGCAGCUGUGGUUAUUGUGUGAGCAGCUGUGUUUGUUUUGGGAGUAUCUGUAGUUCUUGUAGCCCCAAAUGUAGUUGUCGUUGGAGCUGCUAUGGUUGUUGUGGGAGAAGCUGUGGGUGAUGUGGGUGCAGCUGUGGUUGUUGUGGGAACAACUGUGGUUGUUGUGGGAGCAGCUGUGGUUGUUGUGAGAGCAGCUGUGGUUGUUGUGAGAGCAGCUUUGGUUGUUGUGGGAGCAGCUGUGUUUGUUGAGGUAUCAGCUGUGGCUGUUGGUAGAGCAGCUCUGGUUGUUGUGGGAGCAGCAAUGGUUGUUGUGGGAGAAACUGUGGUUGUUGUGGGAGAAGUAGUGGUUGUUGUUGGAGCCACUGUGGUUGUUGUGGGUGCAGAUGUGCUUGUUGUUGGAGCCACUAUGGUUGUUGUUGGAAAGUCUGGGGUUGUUGUCAGAGCAGCUGUGGUUGUUGUGGGAGCAACCGUGGUUGUUGUGGGAGCAGCUGUGGUUGCUUUGGGUGCAGAUGUGGUUGUUGUUGGAGCCACAGUGGUUGUUGUUGGAACGUCUGGGGUUGUUGUCGGAGCAUCUGUGGUUGUUGUGGGAAAAGCUGUGGUUGUUGUGGGAGUAGCUGUGGUUGUUGUGGGAGCCACUGUGUUUGUUGUAGGAGAAGCUGUGAGUGUUGGGAGAGCAUCUGUGGUUGUUAUGGGAGCAGCUGUGGUUGUUGUUGGAGCAGCUGUGGUUGUUGUUGGAGAAGCCGUGGUUGUUGUUGGAACAUAUUAGGUUGUUGUCAGAGAAGCUGUGGUUGUUUUGGGAACAGCUGUGGAUGUUGUGGGAGCAACUGUGGUUGGUGUAGGAGCAGCUGUGGAUGUUGUGGGACCAGCUGUGUUUGUUGUGGUAUCAGCUGUGGCUGUUGUUAAAGCAGAUGUGGUGGUUGUGGGAGCAUCUCUGGUUGUUGUGGUAGCAGCUGUGGCUGUUGUUAGAGCAGCUGUGGUUGUUGUGGGAGAAGCUGUGGUUGUUGUGGGAGAAGUAGUGGUUGUUGUUGGAGCCACCGUGGUUGCUGUUGGAGCCACUGUGGUUGUUUUUUGAAAGUCUGGGGUUGUUGUCGGAGCAUCUGUGGUUGUUGUGGAAACAGCUGUGAUUGUUGUGGAAGCAACCGUCGUUGUUGUGGGAGAAGCUGUGGUUGUUGUGGGUGAUGAUGUGGUUGUUGUUGGAGCCACUGUGGUUGUUGUUGGAUCAUCUAUGGUUGUUGUCGGAGCAGCUGUGGUUGUUGUUGGAAAAGCUGUGGUUGUUGUGGGAGCAACAGUGGUUCUUGUGGGAGCAGCUGUGGUUGUUAUGGGAACAGCUGUGGUUGUUGUGGGUGAUGAUGUGGUUGUUGUUGGAGCCACUGUGGUUGUUGUUGGAUCAUCUGUGGUUGUUGUCGGAGCAGCUGUGGUUGUUGUUGGAGCCACUGUGGUGGUUGUGGGAGGAUCUUCGGUUGUUGUGGGAGCAUCUUCGGUUGUUGUGGGUGGAUCUGUGGUUGUUGUGGGAGAAGCUGUGGUUGUUAUGGGAGAAGCAGUGGUUGUUGUUGGAGCCAAUGUCGUUGUUGUGGUUGCAGAUGUGGUUGUUGUUGGAGCUUCUGUAGUGGUUGUGGGAGCAUCUUUGGUUGUUGUGGGAGCAGCUGUGGUUGUUGUGGGUGCAUCUGUGGUUUUUGUGGGAGAAGCUGUGGUUGUUGUUGGAGCAGCUGUAGUUGUUUAUGGAACAUCUGUGGUUGUUGUGGGAGCAUCUUCGGUUGUUGUGGGAGCAUCUUCGGUUGUUGUGGGUGGAUCUGUGGUUGUUGUUGGAGCAGCUGUGGAUGUUGUGGGAGCAGCUGUGGUUGUUGUGGGAGCAACUGUGGUUGUUGUGGGAGCAUCUGUGGUUGUUGUGGGUGCAGAUGUGGUUGUUGUUGGAUCAUCUGGGGUUGUUGUUUUAGCAGCUAUGGUUGUUGUUGGAACAUCUGUGGUUGUUGUGGGAGCAGCUGUGGUUGUUGUGGGUGCAUCUGUGGUUGUUGUGGGAGAUUCUGUGAUUGUUGUCGGAGCAGCUGUGGUUGUUGUGGGAGAAGCUGUGUUUGUUGUGGGAGAAGCAGUGGUUGUUGUUGGAGCCACUGUAGUUGUUGUGGUUGCAGAUGUGGUUGUUGUUGGAGCCACUGUGGUUGUUGAUGGAACGUCUGAGGUGGUUGUCGGAGCAGCUGUGGUUGUUGUUGGAACAUCUGUGGUUGUUGUUGGAGCAGCUGUGGUUGUUGUUGGAACAUCUGUGGUUGUUGUGGGAGCAGAUGUGGUUGUUGUGGGUCCAUCUGUGGUUGUUGUGGGUGCAUCUGUGAUUGUUGUGGGAGAUUCUGUGGUUGUUGUCGGAGUAGCUGUGGUUGUUGUGGGAGAAGCUGUGUUUGUUGUGGGAGAAGCAGUGGUUGUUGUGGGAGAAGUAGUGGUUGUUGUUGGAGCCACCGUCGUUGCUGUUGGAGCCACUGUGGUUGUUGUUUGAAAGUCUGGGGUUGUUGUCGGAACAUCUGUGGUUGAUGUGGAAACAGCUGUGAUUGUUGUGGAAGCAACCGUCGUUGUUGUGGGAGAAGCUGUGGUUGUUGUGCGUGAUGAUGUGGUUGUUGUUGGAGCCACUGUGGUUGUUGUUGGAUCAUCUGUGGUUGUUGUCGGAGCAGCUGUGGUUGUUGUUGGAAAAGCUGUGGUUGUUGUGGGAGCAACCGGGGUUCUUGUGGGAGCAGCUGUGGUUGAUAUGGGAACAGCUGUGGUUGUUGUGGGAGAAAUUGUGGUUGUUGUGGUAGCAACCGUGGUUGUUGUGGGAGCAGCUGUGGUUGUUGUGGGAGAAGCUGUGGUUGUUAUGGGAGAAGCAGUGGUUGUUGUUGGAGCCAAUGUCGUUGUUGUGGUUGCAGAUGUGGUUGUUGUUGGAGCUUCUGUGGUUUUUGUGGGAGAAGCUGUGGUUGUUGUUGGGGCAGCUGUAGUUGUUUAUGGAACCUCUGUGGUUGUUGUGGGAACAGCUGUGGUUGUUAUGGGAGAAGCAGUGGUUGUUGUUGAAGCCAAUGUUGUUGUUGUGGCUGCAGAUGUGGAUGUUGUUGGAGCCACUGUGGUUGUUGUGGGAGCAGCUGUGGUUGUUGUUGGAACAUCUGUGGUUGUUGUGGGAGCAGCUGUGGUUGUUGUGGGAGCAGCUGUGGUUGUUGUGGGUGCAUCUGUGGUUGUUGUGGGUGCAUCUGUGGUUGUUGUGGGAAAUUCUGUGGUUGUUGUCGGAGCAGCUGUGGUUGUUGUGGGAGAAGCUGUGUUUGUUGUGGGAGAAGCAGUGGUUGUUGUGGGAGAAGUAGUGGUUGUUGUUGGAGCCACCGUCGUUGCUGUUGGAGCCACUGUGGUUGUUGUUUGAAAGUCUGGGGUUGUUUUCGGAGCAUCUGUGGUUGUUGUGGAAACAGCUGUGAUUGUUGUGGAAGCAACCGUGGUUGUUGUUGGAGCCACUUUGGUUGUUGUUGGAUCAUCUGUGGUUGUUGUCGGAGCAGCUGUGGUUGUUGUUGGAAAAGCUGUGGUUGUUGUGGGAGCAACCGUGGUUGUUGUGGGAGCAGCUGUCGUUGUUUUGGGAGCAGCUGUGGCUGUUGUGGGAGAAGCAGUGGUUGUUGUAGGAGCAGCUGUGGUUGUUGUUGGAGCAGCUGUUGUUGUUGUUGGAGCAGCUGUGGUUGUUGUUGGAACAGCUGUGGUUGUUAUGGGAGAAGCAGUGGUUGUUGUUGAAGCCAAUGUUGUUGUUGUGGCUGCAGAUGUGGAUGUUGUUGGAGCCACUGUGGUUGUUGUGGGAGCAGCUGUGGUUGUUGUGGGAGCAGCUGUGGUUGUUGUGGGUGGAUCUGUGGUUGUUGUUGGAGCAGCUGUGGUUGUUGUGGGAGCAGCUGUGGUUGUUGUGGGAGCAACCGUGGUUGUUGUGGGUACAGAUGUGGUUGUUUUUGGAUCAUCUGGGGUUGUUGUUGGAGCAGCUGUGGUUGUUGUUGGAACAUCUGUGGUUGUUGUUGGAGCAGUUGUGGUUGUUGUUGGAACAUCUGUGGUUGUUGUGGGAGCAGAUGUGGUUGUUGUGGGAGAAGCUGUGUUUGUUGUGGGAGAAGCAGUGGUUGUUGUUGGAGCCACUGUAGUUGUUGUGGUUGCAGAUGUGGUUGUUGUUGGAACAUCUGUGGUUGUUGUUGGAGCAGCUGUGGUUGUUGUUGGAACAUCUGUGGUUGUUGUGGGAGCAGCUGUGGUUGUUGUGGGAGCAGCUGUGGUUGUUGUGGGUGCAUCUGUGGUUGUUGUGGGUGCAUCUGUGGUUGUUGUGGGAAAUUCUGUGGUUGUUGUCGGAGCAGCUGUGGUUGUUGUCGGAGCAGCUGUGGUUGUUGUGGGAGAAGCUGUGUUUGUUGUGGGAGAAGCAGUGGUUGUUGUGGGAGAAGUAGUGGUUGUUGUUGGAGCCACCGUCGUUGCUGUUGGAGCCACUGUGGUUGUUGUUUGAAAGUCUGGGGUUGUUUUCGGAGCAUCUGUGGUUGUUGUGGAAACAGCUGUGAUUGUUGUGGAAGCAACCGUGGUUUUUGUUGGAGCCACUUUGGUUGUUGUUGGAUCAUCUGUGGUUGUUGUCGGAGCAGCUGUGGUUGUUGUUGGAAAAGCUGUGGUUGUUGUGGGAGCAACCGUGGUUGUUGUGGGAGCAGCUGUCGUUGUUUUGGGAGCAGCUGUGGCUGUUGUGGGAGAAGCAGUGGUUGUUGUAGGAGCAGCUGUGGUUGUUGUUGGAGCAGCUGUUGUUGUUGUUGGAGCAGCUGUGGUUGUUGUUGGAACAUCUGGGGUUGUUGUCGGAGCAGCUGUGGUUGUUGUGGGAAAAGCUGUGGUUGUUGUGGUAGCAACCGUGGUUGUUGUGGGAGCAGCUGUGGUUGUUGUGGGAGCAGCUGUUGUUGUUGUGGGAGAAGCUGUGGUUGUUAUGGGAGAAGCAGUGGUUGUUGUUGGAACCAAUGUCGUUGUUGUGGGUGCAGAUGUGGUUGUUGUUGGAGCUUCUGUAGUGGUUGUGGGAGCAUCUUUGGUUGUUGUGGGAGCAGCUGUGGUUGUUGUGGGUGCAUCUGUGGUUUUUGUGGGAGACGCUUUGGUUGUUGUUGGAGCAGCUGUAGUUGUUUAUUGAACAUCUGUGGUUGUUGUGGGAACAGCUGUGGUUGUUGUGGGAACAGCUGUGGUUGUUGUGGGAGAAGCAGUGGUUGUUGUUGAAGCCAGUGUUGUUGUUGUGGUUGCAGAUGUGGUUGUUGUUGGAGCUUCUGUAGUGGUUGUGGGAGCAUCUUCGGUUGUUGUGGGAGCAGCUGUGGUUGUUGUGGGUGGAUCUGUGGUUGUUGUUGGAGCCACUGUAGUUGUUGUGGUUGCAGAUGUGGUUGUUGUUGGAGCCACUGUGGUUGUUGAUGGAACGUCUGAGGUUGUUGUCGGAGCAUCUGUGAUUGUUGUUGGCACAUCUGUGGUUGUUGUUGGAGCAGCUGGGGUUGUUGUGGGUGCAUCUGUGGUUGUUGUGGGAAAUUCUGUGGUUGUUGUCGUAGCAGCUGUGGUUGUUGUGGGAGAAGCUGUGGUUGUUGUGGGUGCAUCUGUGGUUGUUAUUGGAGCCACUGUGGUUGUUGUUGGAGCCAAUAUUGUUGUUGUGGCUGCAGAUGUGGUUGAUGUUGGAGCCAAUGUGGUGGAUGUGGGAGCAUCUUCGGUUGUUGUGGGAGCAGCUGUGGUUGUUGUGGGUGCAUCUGUGGUUGUUGUUGGAGCAGCUGUGGUUGUUGUGGGAGCAGCUGGAGUUGUUGUGGGUGCAUCUGUGGUUGUUGUCGGAGCAGCUGUGGUUGUUGUGGGAGAAGCUGUGGUUGUUGUUGGAACAUCUGUGGUUGUUGUGGGAUCAGCUGUGGUUGUUGUGGGUGCAGCUGUGGUUGUUGUGGGUGCAUCUGUGGUUGUUGUGGGUGCAUCUGUGGUUGUUGUGGGAGAUUCUGUGGUUGUUGUCGGAGCAGCUGUGGUUGUUGUGGGAGAAGCUGUGUUUGUUGUUGGAGAAGCAGUGGUUGUUGUUGGAGCCACUGUAGUUGUUGUGGUUGCAGAUGUGGUUGUUGUUGGAGCCACUGUGGUUGUUGAUGGAACGUCUGAGGUUGUUGUCGGAGCAUCUGUGGUUGUUGUUGGAACAUCUGUGGUUGUUGUUGGAGCAGCUGGGGUUGUUGUGGGUGCAUCUGUGGUUGUUGUGGGAGAUUCUGUGGUUGUUGUCGGAGCAGCUGUGGUUGUUGUGGGAGAAGAUGUGGUUGUUGUGGGUGCAUCUGUGGUUGUUAUUGGAGCCACUGUGGUUGUUGUUGGAGCCAAUAUUGUUGUUGUGGAUGCAGAUGUGGUUGUUGUUGGAGCCAAUGUGGUGGAUGUGGGAGCAUCUUCGGUUGUUGUGGGAGCAGCUGUGGUUGUUGUGGGUGCAUCUGUGGUUGUUGUUGGAGCAGCUGUGGUUGUUGUGGGAGCAGCUGUGGUUGUUGUGGGUGCAUCUGUGGUUUAUUUGGGAGAUUCUGUGGUUGUUGUCGGAGCAGCUGUGGUUGUUGUGGGAGAAGCUGUGGUUGUUGUUGGAACAUCUGUGGUUGUUGUGGGAGCAGCUGUGGUUGUUGUGGGUGCAGCUGUGGUUGUUGUCGGUGCAUCUGUGGUUGUUGUCGGUGCAUCUGUGGUUGUUGUGGGUGCAUCUGUGGUUGUUGUGGGAGAUUCUGUGGUUGUUGUCGGAGCAGCUGUGGUUGUUGUGGGAGAAGCUGUGUUUGUUGUGGGAGAAGGAGUGGUUGUUGUUGGGGCCACUGUAGUUGUUGUGGUUGCAGAUGUGGUUGUUGUUGGAGCCACUGUGGUUGUUGAUGGAACGUCUGAGGUUGUUGUCGGAGCAUCUGUGGUUGUUGUUGGAACAUCUGUGGUUGUUGUUGGAGCAGCUGGGGUUCUUGUGGGUGCAUCUGUGGUUGUUGUGGGAGAUUCUGUGGUUGUUGUCGGAGCAGCUGUGGUUGUUGUGGGAGAAGCUGUGGUUGUUGUGGGUGCAUCUGUGGUUGUUAUUUGAGCCACUGUGGUUGUUGUUGGAGCCAAUAUUGUUGUUGUGGCUGCAGAUGUGGUUGUUGUUGGAGCCACUGUGGUGGAUGUGGGAGCAUCUUCGUUUGUUGUGGGAGCAGCUGUGGUUGUUGUGGGUGCAUCUGUGGUUGUUGUUGGAGCAGCUGUGGUUGUUGUGGGAGCAGCUGUGGUUGUUGUGGGUGCAUCUGUGGUUGUUGUGGGAGAUUCUGUGGUUGUUGUCGGAGCAGCUGUGGUUGUUGUGGGAGAAGCUGUGGUUGUUGUUGGAACAUCUGUGGUUGUUGUGGGAUCAGCUGUGGUUGUUGUGGGUGCAGCUGUGGUUGUUGUGGGUGCAUCUGUGGUUGUUGUGGGUGCAUCUGUGGUUGUUGUGGGAGAUUCUGUGGUUGUUGUCGGAGCAGCUGUGGUUGUUGUCGGAGAAGCUGUGUUUGUUGUUGGAGAAGCAGUGGUUUUUGUUGGAGCCACUGUAGUUGUUGUGGUUGCAGAUGUGGUUGUUGUUGGAGCCACUGUGGUUGUUGAUGGAACGUCUGAGGUUGUUGUCGGAGCAUCUGUGGUUGUUGUUGGAACAUCUGUGGUUGUUGUUGGAGCAGCUGGGGUUCUUGUGGGUGCAUCUGUGGUUGUUGUGGGAGAUUCUGUGGUUGUUGUCGGAGCAGCUGUGGUUGUUGUGGGAGAAGCUGUGGUUGUUGUGGGUGCAUCUGUGGUUGUUAUUUGAGCCACUGUGGUUGUUGUUGGAGCCAAUAUUGUUGUUGUGGCUGCAGAUGUGGUUGUUGUUGGAGCCACUGUGGUGGAUGUGGGAGCAUCUUCGGUUGUUGUGGGAGCAGCUGUGGUUGUUGUGGGUGCAUCUGUGGUUGUUGUUGGAGCAGCUGUGGUUGUUGUGGGAGCAGCUGUGGUUGUUGUGGGUGCAUCUGUGGUUGUUGUGGGAGAUUCUGUGGUUGUUGUCGGAGCAGCUGUGGUUGUUGUGGGAGAAGCUGUGGUUGUUGUUGGAACAUCUGUGGUUGUUGUGGGAGCAGCUGUGGUUGUUGUGGGUGCAGCUGUGGUUGUUGUCGGUGCAUCUGUGGUUGUUGUGGGUGCAUCUGUGGUUGUUGUGGGAGAUUCUGUGGUUGUUGUCGGAGCAGCUGUGGUUGUUGUGGGAGAAGCUGUGUUUGUUGUGGGAGAAGCAGUUGUUGUUGUUGGAGCCACUGUAGUUGUUGUGGUUGCAGAUGUGGUUGUUGUUGGAGCCACUGUGAUUGUUGAUGGAACGUCUGAGGUUGUUGUCGGAGCAGCUGUGGUUGUUGUUGGAACAUCUGUGGUUGUUGUUGGAGCAGCUGUGGUUGUUGUUGGAACAUCUGUGGUUGUUGUGGGAGCAGCUGUGGUUGUUGUGGGUGCAUCUGUGGUUGUUGCGGGAGAUUCUUUGGUUGUUGUCGGAGCAGCUGUGGUUGUUGUGGGAGAAGCUGUGUUUGUUGUGGGAGAAGGAGUGGUUGUUGUUGGAGCCACUGUAGUUUUUGUGGUUGCAGAUGUGGUUGUUGUUGGAGCCACUGUGGUUGUUGAUGGAACGUCUGAGGUUGUUGUGGGUGCAUCUGUGGUUGUUGUGGGAGAUUCUGUGGUUGUUGUCGGAGCAGCUGUGGUUGUGGUGGGAGAAGCUGUGGUUGUUGUCGGAACAUCUGUGGUUGUUGUGGGAGCAGCUGUGGUUGUUGUGGGUGCAUCUGUGGUUGUUGUUGGAGCCACUGUGGUUGUUGUGGGAGCCAAUGUUGUUGUUGUGGCUGCAGAUGUGGAUGUUGUUGGAGCCACUGUGUUGGUUGUGGGAGCAUCUUCGGUUGUUGUGGGAGCAGCUGUGGUUGUUGUGGGUGGAUCUGUGGUUGUUGUUGGAGCAGCUGUGGUUGUUGUGGGAGAAGCUGUGGUUGUUGUGGGAGCAACCGUGGUUGUUGUGGAAGCAUCUGUGGUUGUUGUGGGUGCAGAUGUGGUUGUUGUUUGAUCAUCUGUGGUUGUUGUUGGAGCAGCUGUGGUUGUUGUUGGAACAUCUGUGGUUGUUGUGAGAGCAGCUGUGGUUGUUGUGGGUGCAUCUGUGGUUGUUGUGGGAGAUUCUGUGGUUGUUGUCGGAGCAGCUGUGGUUGUUGUGGGAGAAGCUGUGUUUGUUGUGGGAGAAGCAGUGGUUGUUGUUGGAGCCAAUGUAGUUGUUGUGGUUGCAGAUGUGGUUGUUGUUGAUGGAACGUCUGAGGAUGUUGUCGGAGCAGCUGUGGUUGUUGUUGGAACAUCUGUGGUUGUUGUUGGAGCAGCUGUGGUUGUUGUUGGAACAUCUGUGGUUGUUGUGGGAGCAGCUGUGGUUGUUGUGGGUGCAUCUGUGGUUGUUGUGGGAGAUUCUGUGGUUGUUGUCGGAGCAGCUGUGGUUGUUGUGGGAGAAGCUGUGGUUGUUGUUGGAACAUCUGUGGUUGUUGUGGGAUCAGCUGUGGUUGUUGUGGGUGCAUCUGUGGUUGUUGUUGGAGCCACUGUGGUUGUUGUUUGAGCCAAUGUUGUUGUUGUGGCUGCAGAUGUGGAUGUUGUUGGAGCCACUGUGGUGGAUGUGGGAGCAUCUUCGUUUGUUGUGGGAGGAGCUGUGGUUGUUGUGGGUGGAUCUGCUGUUGUUGUUGGAGCAGCUGUGGUUCUUGAGGGAGAAGCUGUGGUUGUUGUGGGAGCAACCGUGGUUGUUGUGGGAGCAGCUGUGGUUGUUGUGGAUGCAAUUGUGGUUGUUGUUGGAGCAGCUGUGGUUGUUGUUGGAGCAGCUGUGGUUGUUGUUGGAGCCACUGUGGUGGAUGUGGGAGCAUCUUCGGUUGUUGUGGGAGCAGCUGUGGUUGUUGUGGGUGCAUCUGUGGUUGUUGUUGGAGCAGCUGUGGUUGUUGUGGGAGCAGCUGAAGUUGUUGUGGGUGCAUCUGUGGUUGUUGUGGGAGCCACUGUGGUUGUUGUUGGAGCCAAUGUUGUUGUUGUGGCUGCAGAUGUGGUUGUUGUUGGAGCCACUGUGGUGGAUGUGGGAGCAUCUUCAGUUGUUGUGGGAGCAGCUGUGGUUGUUGUGGGUGGAUCUGUGGUUGUUGUUGGAGCAGCUGUGGUUGUUGUGGGAGAAGCUGUGGUUGUUGUGGGAGCAGCCGUGGUUGUUGUUGGAGCAGCUGUGGUUGUUGUUGGAACAUCUGUGGUUGUUGUGGGAGAAGCUGUGUUUGUUGUGGGAGAAGAAGUGGUUGUUGUUGGAGCCACUGUAGUUGUUGUUGUUGCAGAUAUGGUUGUUGUUGGAGCCACUGUGGUUGUUGAUGGAACGUCUGAGGUUGUUGUCGGAGCAGCUGUGGUUGUUGUUGGAACAUCUGUGGUUGUUGUUGUAGCAGCUGGGGUUGUUGUGGGUGCAUCUGUGGUUGUUGUGUGAGAUUCUGUGGUUGUUGUCGGAGCAGCUUUGGUUGUUGUGGGAGAAGCUGUGGUUGUUGUUGGAACAUCUGUGGUUGUUGUGGGAGCAGCUGUGGUUGUUGUGGGUGCAUCUGUGGUUGUUGUUGGAGCCACUGUGGUGGUUGUGGGAGCAUCUUCGGUUGUUGUGGGAGCAGCUGUGGUUGUUGUGGGUGGAUCUGUGGUUGUUGUUGGAGCAGCUGUGGUGGUUGUGGGAGAAGCUGUGGUUGUUGUGGGAGCAACCGUGGUUGUUGUGGAAGCAUCUGUGGUUGUUGUGGGUGCAGAUGUGGUUGUUGUUGGAUCAUCUGGGGUUGUUGUUGGAGCAGCUGUGGUUAUUGUUGGAACAUCUGUGGUUGUUGUGAGAGCAGCUGUGUUUGUUGUGGGUGCAUCUGUGGUCGUUGUGGGAGAUUCUGUGGUUGUUGUCGGAGCAGCUGUGGUUGUUGUGGGAGAAGCUGUGUUUGUUGUGGGAGAAGCAGUGGUUGUUGUUGGAGCCACUGUAGUUGUUGUGGUUGCAGAUGUGGUUGUUGUUGAUGGAACGUCUGAGGAUGUUGUCGGAGCAGCUGUGGUUGUUGUUGGAACAGCUGUGGUUGUUGUUGGAGCAGCUGUGGUUGUUGUUGGAACAUCUGUGGUUGUUGUGGGAGCAGCUGUGGUUGUUGUGGGUGCAUCUGUGGUUGUUGUGGAAGAAUCUGUGGUUGUUGUCGGAGUAGCUGUGGUUGUUGUGGGAGAAGCUGUGGUUGUUGUUGGAACAUCUGUGGUUGUUGUGGGAUCAGCUGUGGUUGUUGUGGGUGCAUCUCUGGUUGUUUUUGGAGCCACUGUGGUUGUUGUUGGAGCCAAUGUUGUUGUUGUGGCUGCAGAUGUGGAUGUUGUUGGAGCCACUGUGGUGGAUGUGGGAGCAUCUUCGGUUGUUGUGAGAGGAGCUGUGGUUGUUGUGGGUGGAUCUGUUGUUGUUGUUGGAGCAGCUGUGGUUCUUGUGGGAGAAGCUGUGGUUGUUGUGGGAGCAACCGUGGUUGUUGUGGGAGCAGCUGUGGUUGUUGUGGGUGCAAUUGUGGUUGUUGUUGGAGCAGCUGUGGUUGUUGUGGGAGCAGCUGUGGUUGUUGUGUGUGCAAUUGUGGUUGUUGUUGGAGCAGCUGUGGUUGUUGUGGUUGCAGAUGUGGUUGUUGUUGGAGCCACUGUGGUUAUUGAUGGAACGUCUAAGGUUGUUGUCGGAGCAGCUGUGGUUGUUGUUGGAACAUCUGUGGUUGUUGUUGGAGCAGCUGUGGUUGUUGUUGGAACAUCUGUGGUUGUUGUGGGAACAGCUGUGGUUGUUGUGGGUGCAUCUGUGUUUGUUGUGGGAGAUUCUGUGGUUGUUGUCGGAGCAGCUGUGGUUGUUGUGGGAGAAGCUGUGUUUGUUGUGGGAGAAGCAGUGGUUGUUGUUGGAGCCACUGUGGUUGUUGUGGGUGGAGAUGUGGUUGUUGUUGGAACAGCUGUGGUUGUUGUGGGUGAAGAUGUGGUUGUUGUUGGAACAGCUGUGGUUGUUGUGGGAGAAGCAGUAAUUGUUGGGAGAGCAGCUGUGGUUGUUAUGGUAGCAGCUGUGGUUGUUCUGGGAGAAGCUGUGGUUGUUGUUGGAGAAGCUGUGGUUGUUGUUAGAACAUCUGGGGUUGUUGUCAGAGAAUCUGUGGUUGUUGUGGGAACAGCUGUGGUUGUUGUGGAAGCAACUGUGAUUGUUGUAUCCACAGCUGAAGUUGGAGUUGAGGCUGCUGGGGGUUGUGUUGGUGCAAUGACCUCUGUAAUUAUGAAAUGGAUGUUAGGUAUUUUAUUCUUAUUGGUCCAAUGGUGUUCUAUAGGAUUUCAUUAUACCUGAAACGUUGUAACUGUACAGUGGCUAAAAAUUGUGUACAACUCUAAACAAAUUGACAAAAAAUCCAGUCAACAAAGUUACAGACGUUUCAUCAAGUGUUGAGGACGUAGGGUUACUCAGUUUUGCUUCUUGUUGUUAAGCUUAAGAUAAGAAGGUAUUGGGUUUUCUCUUCAGAAGUAAACAUUUUUACAACCACAUUUGUUAGAUUGUUUUCUAUGUCAAAUAGCAAAAAUAAAAGACUGAUAAUCAACUCCAGGCUGCGUAGUUAAAUGGAAAUGACCGACUUCACCUGUUUGGUAUCAUAUCACACCC